CAGUCGCCGCGGUAAAACGUAGGGUGCAAGCGUUGUCCGGAAUUAUUGGGCGUAAAGAGCUCGUAGGCGGUUUGUCGCGUCUGCUGUGAAAUCCCGAGGCUCAACCUCGGGCUUGCAGUGGGUACGGGCAGACUAGAGUGCGGUAGGGGAGAUUGGAAUUCCUGGUGUAGCGGUGGAAUGCGCAGAUAUCAGGAGGAACACCGAUGGCGAAGGCAGAUCUCUGGGCCGUAACUGACGCUGAGGAGCGAAAGCGUGGGGAGCGAACAGGAUUAGAUACCCCCGUAGUCCCUGUCUCUUAUAC
rnacentral:rRNA from 1 species